rnacentral:lncRNA from 1 species
ACUCUCUCUCCCCUCUCUCUCUCUCUCUCUCGACGGCACAGAGAUCUCGAUCAGUGAUGCCCUUGCCCCAAACAAGUCUUCACUUCUAAUCAAUCACCGGUUCUGUCUUCAAUUUCUGGAUUUUCGACUUUUGAAGAUUACCGAAGCAAGUUUAUCUUGAAAACAUCAUGGCUAUUGAUGCUGUUGUGUCGGAAUCAGCCCAUGUGUCUGUUGAGAAUGUGAAGAAAGAGAGCAGUGCGAAUGGGCAUGUUGGUGAAAAUGAAUCCGGUCCUCACCGCACCUGAGGCGCGUCUAGGCACAGGCCUCAGCACCUUAUGCUUGGUUUAAAAAAGCGCGCUUGAAGCGCGCUUGAGGCGAUGAAGCGAUGAAGCGAUUGGAAAAACGCUUUUUUGGCUCUGAAGCGAUGCAUUACAUGAAGCGACCUGAAGCGAGCUUUAAGCGGUGAAGCGUUGAAGCUGUGAAGCUACGCUCCAGCCAAUCAGGUCACCAUUUGGGCCAUUUUUUAAGCCCAGCAGUCUUUACAAAGUACAUAUCGACCUUAUAUCAACGAUAUAGCGACUUCCUAUGUGAAAUCCGGCGACAAAUUCCGGCGACGGAGUUGCUUUCAGCCGGAAACCAGGAAGAAGGGGGAAGAAGAAGAGAGAUGCUGACGGUGACGGCUGCGUAUAUGUAUUUUAGGUUUUUAGGGUUUUUAUAAGUUAAGGUUUUUAAACAUUUAACCCCUCUUAUCUU